CUUGAAACACGGACCAAGGAGUUUGUCGUGUGCGCGAGUCAUUGGGUUAUUUUAUAAACCUCAAAGGCGAAAUGAAAGUGAAGGGAAGUCUUUUCUUUCUGAGGGAAGAUGGGCGUCCCGCCCACCGCCAGCCGGUGGCGGCGCCCCGCAUUCCCGGGGCGCCCCUUUCUCAUCGCGAGUAGGGGCGCACCCAGAGCGCACACGAUGAUACCCGAAAGAUGGUGAACUAUGCCUGGCCAGGACGAAGCCAGGGGAAACCCUGGUGGAGGUCCGCAGCGAUUCUGACGUGCAAAUCGAUCGUCGGAGCUGGGUAUAGGGGCGAAAGACCAAUCGAACCAUCUAGUAGCUGGUUCCCUCUGAAGUUUCCCUCAGGAUA
rnacentral:rRNA from 1 species